GGCGAGUAAACUACUUUCAAGAAUGGAAUUGAGUGUGUUUUUUCAUUGGAAGAAGUAAUGUUGAAGUAAGUCAAAAUGCCUUCGAGGAAGCUAAGUCUGUGGUAAACAUAAACAUGCAAAGACGGAACCCAUCAAGGACAAGGGUAUACCAAACUCAAAGGGAAAGAAAGUAUCCCCAGGGAGAGAAAUGAACCCUGCAUGGGUGGACCAAGUUCUUACCCGGAUAUGUCAUUUGGGUAUUCUAUUCCUUACGUAGUGAGACCGCUCAAAAGCCUUAUCUCUUUAUCUUGAUCCAAUUUCCCCAUUUUCUCUCUACUAGAUACAGCAGCCAAAAAGAAGUCAGGGGUAUAAACUUCAAGACUUUCUCGAGUAUAAGAUAAGGGAGGGAUUUGGAUAUCCCGAGGACCAUAUUAGGCGAUUCUUGAAGCAAUGUGGCCCUACUACAAGGAGCUCAGCAUUAUGCCUAAGACAAUUCCCG
rnacentral:lncRNA from 1 species